rnacentral:RNase_P_RNA from 1 species
GAGUGAGGAAGUCAAUUUUCGGAACUAGGUCAUUAACUUGGCAAACUUUCACAUAAAAGUUUAGUUCUGAGGAAGGUCCGUCCAUCCUGAAAUAAUAUAUUUCAGCUUGUAUUCAUUGGGAAUAUAAGAAUCAUGUGUGAAAGCACAUUGUUGUGAGGCAAAGCUCUAUUACAGAAACGACACAGUUGUCUUUGAGCAAUGCAUUCGUGGAAGAAGCGAUGAGAAGACAGAUAUGAUGAAACGAGUAUCUUGAUUGAUGCAAGGGAACUGCAAUAAGCAGUACACCGCAAAGUAGCAUGUUGACAUGUUUUGUCCUUGGUUUCGAGGAAAACAACAGAAGAUGGCCUAUUCCUCACUC